UGCAGGAUCUGGUGGGACAGUUCGGUAAGGGCGUUGACGCCGCCCUCGGGACGGGCGCCGGCGUGCGAGGUCUUGCCCUGCAC
rnacentral:tRNA from 1 species